UACGUAGGGGGCAAGCGUUGUCCGGAAUCAUUGGGCGUAAAGCGCGUGUAGGCGGCCCGGUAAGUCCGCUGUGAAAGUCGGGGGCUCAACCCUGGGAUGCCGGUGGAUACUGUCGGGCUCGAGUCCGGAAGAGGCGAGUGGAAUUCCUGGUGUAGCGGUGAAAUGGCGCAGGAUAUCAGGAGGAACACCGGUGGCGAAGGCGGGUCUCUGGGCAAGCAACUGACGCUGAGGAGCGAAAGCGUGGGGAGCAAACAGG
rnacentral:rRNA from 1 species